rnacentral:rRNA from 1 species
UUGGAGGGCAAGUCUGGUGCCAGCAGCCGCGGUAAUUCCAGCUCCAAUAGCGUAUAUUAAAGUUGUUGAGGUUAAAAAGCUCGUAGUUGAACCUUGGGCCUAGCCGGCCGGUCCGCCUCACCGCGUGCACUGGCUCGGCUGGGUCUUUCCUUCUGGAGAACCGCAUGCCCUUCACUGGGUGUGCUGGGGAACCAGGACUUUUACUCUGAAUAAAUUAGAUCGCUUAAAGAAGGCCUAUGCUCGAAUACAUUAGCAUGGAAUAAUAGAA